rnacentral:rRNA from 1 species
UGGGGAAUUUUGGACAAUGGGCGAAAGCCUGAUCCAGCAAUGCCGCGUGUGUGAAGAAGGCCUUCGGGUUGUAAAGCACUUUUGUCCGGAAAAGAAAUCCUUGGCUCUAAUACAGUCGGGGGAUGACGGUACCGGAAGAAUAAGCACCGGCUAACUACGUGCCAGCAGCCGCGGUAAUACGUAGGGUGCAAGCGUUAAUCGGAAGUUACUGGGCGUAAAGCGUGCGCAGGCGGUUUGCUAAGACCGAUGUGAAAUCCCCGGGCUAACCUGGGAACUGCAUUGGUGACUGGCAGGCUAGAGUAUGGCAGAGGGGGGUAGAAUUCCCACGUGUAGCAGUGAAAAUGCGUAGAGAUGUGGAGGAAUACCGAUGGCGAAGGCAGCCCCCCUGGGGCCAAAUACUGACGCUCAUGCACGAAAAGCGUGGGGAGCAAAACAGGAUUAGAUACCCUGGUAGUCCACGCCCUAAAACGAUGUCAACUAGUUGUUGGGGGAUUCAUUUCCUUAGUAACGUAGCUAACGCGUGAAGUUGACCGCCUGGGGAGUACGGUCGCAAGAUUAAAACUCAAAUGAAUUGACGGGGUCAUAGCUGUUUCCU